UAAAGUAAAAAUAUAAGAUGAAAAAGGAGAAAUUUAAAAUAAAAAUAGAAAAUUACGAAAUUACUAGUUAUGGCCAACCAAUUGUUGAAUUGUUGAAAGUUAUUUAAUUUUUAUAUAAUUAUCAAGUUUCUUAAAUCCCUUACAGCUUACUUCUAGUGAGUCCAUCAGUGAUGUUAAAGAAACAAACAGGAACAGAUGUAUUUAUAAUUCCCCAAAUUUAUGUGUGUGUGUGUGCUGGCAGGAUGUGUGGCCUGUAGAUCUGAAGAAUCAUUCCACAGCCAUGCAAUGCAUGGUGACAGUGGUUUGGGAGACAAGGCCUGUAGCCAUUGUGUGAUGACAGGAUGUGUGGCCUGUAGAUCUGAAGAUUCUCUCCACAGCCAUGUAAUGCACAGUGAG